GCCCUGCGCUCGAGGGCCUUGCCCUGCGCUCGAGGGCCUCGCGGUGGGCCCGAGGGACGUCCUUUCCCCGUAGCCAGGCGCCCAGGGUAGGGCUCGGGCUAUCUGGUGAGCUAGGCCGUGUGUUAGCUAUAGCCCGGAAGUAAGUGUCGGUCUUAGAAUCCCGUCGGGCCCCAUUUUCACUGGGUCCGAUAUAUUCUGGGGGAAAGGAGAACUGAUUCCCUCCGUCCUAGAACGACAGCCCCGAGGGCGCAGGCACCUGUCAGGGCGAGUGUCCGUGGUGCCUGGCGCGGAGGGGAUGCCCCGCCACUGCUCUUCCAAGGACCGAGUCGAGCAGGAGAAACGUGUACUUACUCGUUCAUUCUUCAGUAUAUUCUGAGAGACCAUGAUGUGUGAGACAUAUAUUGGAAUCUAGAGGGUACAGAGUGUUAAGGUUGUCUCCUUGUGGUCACAACGGCUGCUGCACUUCCAGACAUCACAUCCGCGUUCCAGGCAGAAAGAAGGGGGAAAGGCAAAAUGCCUUCUCCUCCCGAAGCUUUGCUUUUUAUUCGGGAAUGGGUGCCAAGAUUUGCUGAUCCGGGACCUUUCCUACAAACAGAAGCACACCGGCUUCCCUCACUCAGCACGAUGUCGAGGGCCAUCCGUGUCGUGGCCAGUAAGAAACUGUAAAACAGGACGAAGGAUCUGGAAAGGUGUUCACAGAGCAAAACUCCCAGUGUGCAAGCAAGAGUCACAGAGGUCCUGUCUCACUUGUGACCCACAAACCGGAUGCCGAGCCAAACCAGGACGCACAUCAGGAUGUUUUGGUAUCUGGGGGGUGGGACUUAGAGGAGAGACAGCCUUCCCCAGCGACCCAAUUCCGAAGGAGAAUAACAGCCUGCCAUAUGCAAACCGACUGAUUUCCACUCAUCUUCUUCAUCUGACUCACCGAGCCCCCGUCUCCCCGAAGUCAUCCUGGGGCAGGUACGAUGCAUAGGAGUCCGUCCCUAGAGCCAAAGGGCUCCUCACCAGUCCGCGGAGGAGUGGUCAGAAGAUGCUGCUUCUAUCAGCGGCUUUUUUUUUUUUUUUUUGACUCUUGGGAUUUCUUAGGAGUCCACAGAGACCCAAAUAGUAAAAUUCUGACCCUGCCCCAAAAUGCAUUUUUUUUUUUAAAUCAACUUAUCGGUGUGUAAUGUACAUACGACAAACGGCACCUGUUGUCAGCGUAAGCAUGUAAUUAAUGGGUUUUGAUGAAUGUAGGCACCUGGGUAACCA